rnacentral:rRNA from 1 species
CCUACGGGUGGCUGCAGUGAGGAAUAUUGGUCAAUGGACGAGAGUCUGAACCAGCCAAGUAGCGUGAAGGAUGACUGCCCUAUGGGUUGUAAACUUCUUUUAUAUGGGAAUAAACUGUUCCAAGUGUGGGAUUUUGUAUGUACCAUAUGAAUAAGGAUCGGCUAACUCCGUGCCAGCAGCCGCGGUAAUACGGAGGAUCCGAGCGUUAUCCGGAUUUAUUGGGUUUAAAGGGAGCGUAGGUGGAUUGUUAAGUCAGUUGUGAAAGUUUGCGGCUCAACCGUAAAAUUGCAGUUGAAACUGGCAGUCUUGAGUACAGUAGAGGUGGGCGGAAUUCGGGGUGUAGCGGUGAAAUGCUUAGAUAUCACGAAGAACUCCGAUUGCGAAGGCAGUUCACUGGACUGCAACUGACACUGAGGCUCGAAAGUGUGGGUAUCAAACAGGAUUAGAUACCCGAGUAGUC